UGCUUACUGACGAGUUCCAAAUAGGACGAGACGCGCGUCCCGGAU
rnacentral:hammerhead_ribozyme from 1 species